rnacentral:tRNA from 2 species
AUUUAGGUAGCUUAUUUAGAGCAUAGCAUUGAAGUUGCUAGGGUGAUUAUGUAUCUCUAAAUA